UGAACUAGUUAUCUGUGAAGAAAAAAGUUUUGCAAUAAUCCAAUCGUGAGCCUGACCUAAAAAUAGUUAGAGUAUUUUUCAUCCAGUUUCAUUUCUCACAUUUCUAAUAAUCAUCUAUAAAUUCGGUAAAGCAAUUAUACUACACAUAAACCAAUGGUAAGAACUUGGAAGAUAUUUCUGAUUUUGGAUGCAAACAAAUUAAUCUUUGAAAAGUUGGAAAUAAUUAUACAAAUCUGAAUUUAGGGGCUAUUUGUUCAUUGUGUAGAUUAGAAAAUGACACUAGGUGGCAAAAUUUUUCCAAUCUGAGUUUCAGUAUGAGUUCUGAUUUAAAAAAGAUGAGACCUGUCGGGAAAAUCUCUAUGCUAAUCUUUCUCUUUUUAAUUAUGUUACCUGGCUUCAAGGCGGGGGUUGCGGGCGGAAUUUUUAAUGACCCAGCACAUCCCGGAAAGUGUGUUGUCUAUGGAUAUGUUUUAAAAGCUGGUGAGCAGGUUACUUCCGAAUCGUGUAUGCAGUACAGUUGUUUUGAGAAUAGCUUAGUGGAGAUCUUAUCAUGUCCUUCUGCUGGAUCCCCCAUCGGUACCAAAUUUGGAAGACAAAAAUCACCGAAUGCCGAUUAUCCAGACUGCUGUGAACGCGAGGUGAUCAACGCAUAAAGGCAAUAAAAAUAUUUUUAAAUUCGAAAAAUAACUUAAUUCAAAAUUAAAUCGAUACCGUUUCAAAAGACUAUA